rnacentral:rRNA from 1 species
GUGCACGCUGGCGGUAGGCCUAACACCUGCAAGUCGAACGGCAGCACAGUAAGAGCUUGCUCUUACGGGUGGCGAGUGGCGGACGGGUGAGGAAUACAUCGGAAUCUACUUUUUCGUGGGGGAUAACGUAGGGAAACUUACGCUAAUACCGCAUACGACCUACGGGUGAAAGCAGGGGAUCUUCGGACCUUGCGCGGUUGAAUGAGCCGAUGUCGGAUUAGCUAGUUGGCGGGGUAAAGGCCCACCAAGGCGACGAUCCGUAGCUGGUCUGAGAGGAUGAUCAGCCACACUGGAACUGAGACACGGUCCAGACUCCUACGGGAGGCAGCAGUGGGGAAUAUUGGACAAUGGGCGCAAGCCUGAUCCAGCCAUACCGCGUGGGUGAAGAAGGCCUUCGGGUUGUAAAGCCCUUUUGUUGGGAAAGAAAAGCAGCAGGUUAAUACCCCGCUGUUCUGACGGUACCCAAAGAAUAAGCACCGGCUAACUUCGUG